AGUGAACGUUGGCGGCGUGGAUUAGGCAUGCAAGUCGAGCGAGAACCGUAGCAGUACGGGGACAGCGGCGAAAGGGACAGUAAUGUGUAGGUACCUACCCCGAGGUCUGGGAUAGCUGCGGGAAACUGCAGGUAAUACCGGAUAAUGUCUUCGGACCAAAGGUGUGAUUCCACCUUGGGAGGGGCCUGCAUCCUAUUAGCUAGUUGGCGGGGUAAUGGCCCACCAAGGCGACGAUGGGUAGCGGGUGUGAGAGCACGACCCGCGUCAUUGGGACUGAGACACUGCCCAGACACCUACGGGUGGCUGCAGUCGAGGACCUUCGGCAAUGGGCGAAAGCCUGACCGAGCGACGCCGCGUGCGGGAUGAAGGCCUUCGGGUUGUAAACCGCUGUCGUAGAGGAGGAAAUGCAGGUGGGUUCUCCCAUCUGUUUGACCUAUUCUAGGAGGAAGUACGGGCUAAGUUCGUGCCAGCCGCCGCUGUAA
rnacentral:rRNA from 1 species